CUAAUACAUGCAAGUCGAGCGCAGGAAGCAGACUGAUCUCCUUCGGGAGUGAUGUUUGUGGAAUGAGCGGCGGACGGGUGAGUAACACGUGGGCAACCUGCCUGUAAGACCGGGAUAACUCGCGGAAACGUGAGCUAAUACCGGAUAAAGCUCCAUGCCGCAUGGCAUGGGGAUGAAAGACGGCUUAGCUGUCGCUUGCAGAUGGGCCCGCGGCGCAUUAGCUAGUUGGUGAGGUAACGGCUCACCAAGGCGACGAUGCGUAGCCGACCUGAGAGGGUGAUCGGCCACACUGGGACUGAGACACGGCCCAGACUCCUACGGGAGGCAGCAGUAGGGAAUCUUCCGCAAUGGACGCAAGUCUGACGGAGCAACGCCGCGUGAGUGAGGAAGGCCUUCGGGUCGUAAAGCUCUGUUGCCAGGGAAGAAUGGCUUGCAGUUAACUGCUGCAAGUUUGACGGUACCUGAGAAGAAAGCCCCGGCUAACUACGUGCCAGCAGCCGCGGUAAUACGUAGGGGGCAAGCGUUGUCCGGAAUUAUUGGGCGUAAAGGGCGCGCAGGCGGCCGUUUAAGUCUCGUGUUUAAUCCCGGGGCUCAACCCCGGUACGCAUGGGAAACUGGAUGGCUUGAGUGCAGAAGAGGAGAGUGGAAUUCCACGUGUAGCGGUGAAAUGCGUAGAGAUGUGGAGGAACACCAGUGGCGAAGGCGG
rnacentral:rRNA from 1 species